CCUACGGGAGGCAGCAGUGGGGAAUAUUGGGCAAUGGGCGCAAGCCUGACCCAGCAACGCCGCGUGAAGGAAGAAGGCUCUCGGGUUGUAAACUUCUUUUGAUAGGGACGAAGCAAGUGACGGUACCUGACGAAUAAGCCACGGCUAAUUACGUGCCAGCAGCCGGGGUAAUACGUAGGUGGCAAGCGUUAUCCGGAGUUAUUGGGUGUAAAGGGCGUGUAGGCGGGAAUGCAAGUCAGCUGUGAAAACUAUGGGCUCAACCCAUAGCCUGCAUUUGAAACUGUAUUUCUUGAGUGCUGGAGAGGCAAUCGGAAUUCCGGGUGUAGCGGUGAAAUGCGUAGAUAUACGGAGGAACACCAGUGGCGAAGGCGGAUUGCUGGACAGUAACUGACGCUGAGGCGCGAAAGCGUGGGGAGCGAACAGGAUUAGAUACCCUAGUAGUC
rnacentral:rRNA from 1 species